rnacentral:rRNA from 1 species
GACGUGGGCGCGAGCGUUGUCCGGAUUUAUUGGGCGUAAAGAGCUCGUAGGCGGCUUGUCGCGUCGUUCGUGAAAACCUGCAGCUCAACUGCAGGCUUGCGGUCGAUACGGGCAGGCUGGAGUUCGGUAGGGGAGACUGGAAUUCCUGGUGUAGCGGUGAAAUGCGCAGAUAUCAGGAGGAACACCGGUGGGCGAAGGCGGGUCUCUGGGCCGAUACUGA